CUCUGUCACCUGCUGACUGUCCUGGGCAGAGCUGGGACCUGCAGGAUGUCCUGGCUCUCCCCACCUGAUAAACCUGUCCCUCAGAGUGCACCCAGCUCUCUGCAAACCCACAACGAGGCACCUAAAACACGUGUUCAACAUGAGGUGCCUCUGGUGGGAAAGGGGACACUCCUGUCAUUGACACAACAAUUAAAGCUGGUUCCUCUAAUCAGAGAGUCCCAGAAUGGUUUGGGUUGGAAGGGACCUUAAAGAUCACCCAUUUCCAACCCCUUUGGCAGCUCUCAGCACUUGGCAGAGUUCAGUUCAACAUCAGAGUCCAGGAGACAGCAGAGGCAGAUCAGGACAACCCUCGACCUCCAAGGUCUGCUCUCAAGGACACAGAUCCCUCCAGCUCCAGGGGGCCUGGCCCAGAGGAAGAGCCUUUCUGCCAGCAUGGAAAUGACAUCUUUUUGAUGCUACACCUUGUCACCUCCUCCCAUCCCAUCUUCAGAUCAUUAACAACCUUGGAAUUGUUGGGAUUCACAAUGAAGACAACAAACAAGUAAUUACUGACGAGCUGAUACGCUGGUGAGAGGAGAAUGCCAUUGAUUUGAAUUCUCCUCAGCCCUGUUUUACCCUCCCCUUGCAUUAGGCAUAAUAAAGUGUUACAGUAGACUCUG